rnacentral:rRNA from 1 species
UCCAGAGAACUUAGCAGAGAUGCUUUGGUGCCUUCGGGAACUCUGAGACAGGUGCUGCAUGGCUGUGUCCCAGCUCGUGUUGUGAAAUGUUGGGUUAAGUCCCGCAACGAGCGCAACCCUUAUCCUUUGUUGCCAGCGGUUCGGCCGGGAACUCAAAGGAGACUGCCGGUGAUAAACCGGAGGAAGGUGGGGAUGACGUCAAGUCAUCAUGGCCCUUACGGCCAGGGCUACACACGUGCUACAAUGGCGCAUACAAAGAGAAGCGACCUCGCGAGAGCAAGCGGACCUCAUAAAGUGCGUCGUAGUCCGGAUUGGAGUCUGCAACUCGACUCCAUGAAGUCGGAAUCGCUAGUAAUCGUAGAUCAGAAUGCUACGGUGAAUACGUUCCCGGGCCUUGUACACACCGCCCGUCACACCAUGGGAGUGGGUUGCAAAAGAAGUGGGUAGCUUAACCUUCGGGAGGGCGCUUACCACUUUGUGAUUCAUGACUGGGGUGAAGUCGUAACAAGGUAAGCGUAGCGAG